rnacentral:lncRNA from 1 species
GGGAAGUGGAGUCAGACAGGAGCCCUACCGAGGCUCCAGCCAUGCCCACAGCUACACGUGGGCCACAGACGGCUGAACCACACGGACAUACCAGCACAGGCACAAUGUCACCUGUCCCAUCUGGGAGAACAGGAACCCCUUCUCUCUCACGGUUGUACUCCCAGAAAGGAACUCAAUUCCCAGCACAUUGCAGAUGCGCACUAAUAUUUGGCUGCUGACACCACUCGAGGAAACCAGCCAGCCUUGGGGGCUCUGACGCUGGAUGCAGCCCUCCCAGGAAAUAGCUCCACUGGCUGCAGUAACUGGAGGCUCCUGAGCCACAUUUCAGCCUGCAGUGGGUGGUGGGUGGGCCCCAGCCCAACUGCUGCCCUGCCCCAGGAAGAAGCAGGCCCGUCAAAAUGUCUGACCCCAUCCGUCCCCCUAUCCCCUCCCCUGCCCCAGUCUGUCCUCAGUCCUGAUCCCCCUGCCCGCCCCA